AUGCCUCACUCGCCUCUCUGCCGAGUUCCGGCAGAGAUUGGGAUGAGGAGAGACACUUGCGGAUAUUCAAGCUGGUUGCUUUCUGUCUAGAGUUUACUUGUUAGAAAGAUUGUGCAUUUAUUGUGCUCGGAUUCUAAGUGGUGACUUUUUGUAGAGGAUUUUGCUGUUGUUCGUGAAGCUGCGAAACAGAAGCUUGGUAUGCGUCAUUUCGAUGUUCAGGUAAUUUUAUGCCAGAUUAUUGGUGGGGCGGUGACCUAAUUAGUACCUUUGGUUGACUGUUGGCCUUCAUGAGGAGAUUUUCUUCGCUCUGUUCAACAGCAACUAACACCUGAGUUUCGAGAAGUUCGAACUACCUCAGUGGAGAAUUUGCUAUAUGUAAAAGAUCUUAUCAUUCUGCGUGUAAGAUAAUUUCAAUAGAACCAUCUGCUACUAGUUCUGGUUAGAUUUGCUAAAUAUUUACUAACUAAUUGCACAUGAUCUGUUUCAUGAUUGUGGAAGUACAGCAGCAUAGUUUCUUUGAGCUAAUUGUAA